CUUUUCAGAGACUAUUGAACAGGCAAGGUGGAAAGCGAGCUACUUGGGAGUAUCCAUUUGCUGUGGCUGGUGUAAAUAUCACAUUCAUGAUCAUGCAAAUGCUAGAUUUGAACUCCCGAAUUUACAGCCCCAAACAAAUCACUGUUCCAAAAUUGAAAGCCUACCUAACGAUUUGCAGCCCCAAACAAAUCACCAAAGAAGAAACUGAUGUAUCGACUCACCAAUCGAAAGUUUCCCUAUGCAGAACUAGCAUGUGUGGAUUGGCAAAAGUGCGAAUGCACUUGGCGUAAUUAGUAGUGGUGAGGAUCUCCCACAAUAUUGAUAAAACUCUAUAAAAUAGGAAAUAACUCAAAUUAUUAUCAUAAUAUGUUGUGUACUCUCUUGGGGCUAUGUAUUGGGGCUCAAUACACAGUCAUAUGGUUGUGUAUAUAGCUGAACAUGUAUAUACCCUUACCAUUGUGUAUAUUCUGCCAUAUGAGGAAUUUCCUACAUAUAUACCAUCAACAUGAUUGUUUUAUUUGUACACAAAGAUAGACAUGCUCUAGGGAGUAACAUGAAGAAAACGUAGAAUCAGUAUAUAUAGGGAGUAACAUGAAGAAAACAUAGAAACAGGUCCCCUGAAAAUGCAUAUGUUGAAGGCGAUGCAUCAAGUACGAGUUAUUUCCUAGCAGGCGCAGCAGUC